UCAGUGUGGUUUUAUUCUCCAAUUCAAACAUUUUACACCAAAAGUUAAUUCAAAAACUAACAAAAGCAAAACAAGACAAAAAGCAGGAAUGAAGUGUGAAGUUUCCGUUUCCUCCUGCAGAAUGAACAAAACCUGUGAAGGCACCAGAGAUGAUUGAAACAACAUUUAACCCUUUUUUUUUAACUGAAACACACUGAAAGCUUGGAUGCAGUUUGUUCGUUGGACUCCUGUUGAGAAACCAGGAGCUGUUUGAGUCCGUAAACACAACAGAGAAGGUGAGAGGUUUCUGGUUGACUGAGAAGAUCUGAACAUGAAGGAAGCUGCUGCUGAGGCCGAAGACGAGCUGUGAAGGUUUGAGGUUUAACAUCGAGUCCAGGAGAGACACCAAACAGAAAGUCAUCCUGUGACUUCAGUAAAAAUACUGUCACGGAUCCCAGCUUCCAUCAUGGGACGAAGACGAAGCAACAAAAACAUCAGCCGGGUUUAAAUAAUGAUCCAGAAGCUGCAGCCGAGCAAACAGAGGUCCGUU